rnacentral:rRNA from 1 species
AUUGAACGCUGGCGGCAUGCUUUACACAUGCAAGUCGAACGGCAGCGCGGGCUUCGGCCUGGCGGCGAGUGGCGAACGGGUGAGUAAUACAUCGGAACGUGCCCAGUAGUGGGGGAUAGCUCGGCGAAAGCCGGAUUAAUACCGCAUACGACCUGAGGGUGAAAGCGGGGGAUCUUCGGACCUCGCGCUAUUGGAGCGGCCGAUGGCAGAUUAGCUAGUUGGUGGGGUAAAGGCCUACCAAGGCGACGAUCUGUAGCUGGUCUGAGAGGACGACCAGCCACACUGGGACUGAGACACGGCCCAGACUCCUACGGGACGCAGCAGUGGGGAAUUUUGGACAAUGGGCGAAAGCCUGAUCCAGCAAUGCCGCGUGUGUGAUGAAGGCCUUCGGGUUGUAAAGCACUUUUGGCGGGAACGAAAAGGACUGUGCCAAUACCACGGUUCGAUGACGGUACCCGCAGAAUAAGCACCGGCUAACUACGUG